CCAUUCAGCUCAUGAAGGCACUGAACAGCUCUGUUUCUGUUAAAACCUGAGUGUCAUAUAAAAUAAAGAAAGAAAAUAAGGACAACAUAAUGCAUUGCAAAACUAAGUAAUAAAACUUGCCUUCUAUAUAGCUCACUUUCUUCACAGAUUUCACUCAGGAUCCCUGUCCACAUUUUAUAGGCAGAGAAACUGAGGCACAGAGGAGUUUAGUGGUUUGUCCCAGCAUUACCCAGAGCAAAGAAAUGAACCACAUUUACUCCACCCCUAAUCUGGGAACUGGUGAAAAUGCAAAAGAAUUAGUGCUGAUCUGAGUAAAGAAAUUUAUUUUCCCUGUUCAAGCUAGCAGGACAGUUGUUCAGGCUGUUUUAAGAAGAAAACAGAGUGAGCAUACAUUGUCUUUGUUGUGGAUGUUGAAAAUCUGUUCUGUGUCACAUCGUUGUGUAGAGGACACUUGCCUGGACCGAGUGUCUGGACCUCACCAGAGCUGUCAGUAACAGACAGACUGGAAAUUACAGCUCCUCCUUCAGAGUCAUUGUGCACACAUUAUUGUCUUCAAAAUAAAGUUCUUAUUUAUUAUAUACUUUGCUCUUAAAAACACAAGCUGAAUGCUUCUCUGAAUGCCCUUCUACAGCAUAAAAGCCUUUCUCACCCUUGUGAUUUUCCACAGCUGCCUCAGGUGUCUGUAGUGCUGCAAACAGCAAUUAGAGGACAUGGAACUUGUCUGUCAAGCAGCUCCAAAAGACACUGUUUAUCCCUCCCCUUGUUUCCUUCUAGCUGGCACAAAACACUGCGAUUAAGUGGGUGAGGGGUCAGCUGUGGAUACCAUAGACCUGUCUCCUCCUGACUGCCACCAUCUCACCCUCAUCCCAUUCAGAGAUCCCAAGGAGUCAGCAGCAGAGAGAAAAGAUAGGUUCAGUAUUUCCAGGGUCCUGAAUGAUAAUUAUACUUCCUAAAUGGAAAUUUAGAGACCCUUCUCAACAUAUUCUCAGCAGACAAAGAUGCUUUAAUGCACUGUGAGAACAUGAGAAAAUUUCUAGGCA
rnacentral:lncRNA from 1 species